rnacentral:rRNA from 1 species
UAUAGUCAAGUAAUUAAGUGCAUGUGGUGGAUGCCUUGGCAGUCAGAGGCGAUGAAAGACGUGAUAGCCUGCGAAAAGCUCCGGGGAGGCGGCAAAUAUCCUUUGAUCCGGAGAUGUCUGAAUGGGGGAACCCACCUACUUUAAGGU